rnacentral:rRNA from 1 species
UUGCCUACGGGGGGCAGCAGUGGGGAAUAUUGGGCAAUGGACGCAAGUCUGACCCAGCAACGCCGCGUGAAGGAAGAAGGCUUUCGGGUUGUAAACUUCUUUUGAGGGGGAAGAGUAGAAGACGGUACCCCUUGAAUAAGCCACGGCUAACUACGUGCCAGCAGCCGCGGUAAUACGUAGGUGGCAAGCGUUGUCCGGAUUUACUGGGUGUAAAGGGAGCGUAGACGGAAAGGCAAGUCGGAAGUGAAAACCCAAGGCUCAACCAUGGGACUGCUUUUGAAACUGUCAAACUAGAGUACGGGAGG